rnacentral:tRNA from 1 species
GCGUCAUUAGCUCAGCUGGAUAGAGUGUCGGCCUCCGAAGCCGAAGGUCGAGAGUUCGAAUCUCUCAUGACGCACCA